UACGUAGGGGGCUAGCGUUGUCCGGAAUCAUUGGGCGUAAAGCGCGUGUAGGCGGCCCGGUAAGUCCGCUGCGAAAGUCGGGGGCUCAACCCUCGAAUGCCGGUGGAUACUGUCGGGCUAGAGUGCGGAAGAGGCGAGUGGAAUUCCUGGUGUAGCGGUGAAAUGCGCAGAUAUCAGGAAGAACACCAAUGGCGAAAGCAGCUCUCUGGGACGGUACUGACGCUGAGACGCGAAAGCGUGGGGAGCGAACAGG
rnacentral:rRNA from 1 species